AACGAACGCUGGCGGCAGGCCUAACACAUGCAAGUCGAGCGAAGCCUUCGGGCUUAGCGGCGGACGGGUGAGUAACGCGUGGGAACGUGCCCUUUGCUACGGAAUAGCCCCGGGAAACUGGGAGUAAUACCGUAUGUGCCCUUCGGGGGAAAGAUUUAUCGGCAAAGGAUCGGCCGGCGUUGGAUUAGGUAGUUGGUGGGGUAAUGGCCUACCAAGCCGACGAUCCGUAGCUGGUUUGAGAGGAUGAUCAGCCACACUGGGACUGAGACACGGCCCAGACUCCUACGGGAGGCAGCAGUGGGGAAUCUUAGACAAUGGGGGAAACCCUGAUCUAGCCAUGCCGCGUGAUCGAUGAAGGCCUUAGGGUUGUAAAGAUCUUUCAGUGGGGAAGAUAAUGACUGUACCCACAGAAGAAGCCCCGGCUAACUCCGUGCCAGCCGCCGCAGUAACAC
rnacentral:rRNA from 1 species